rnacentral:tRNA from 1 species
GGCCCCAUGGUCAAGUGGUUAAGACACCGCCCUUUCAAGGCGGUAACCCGGGUUCGAAUCCCGGUGGGGUCA